GUUUAAAUAGUUUAAUAAAAAUUUUGAUUUGUGGAGUCAAGGAUGUAAUUUUUACUUUAGACC
rnacentral:tRNA from 1 species